CAGUAGCCACGGUAAUACGUAGGUGGCAAGCGUUGUCCGGAAUUAUUGGGCGUAAAGGGCUCGCAGGCGGUUUCUUAAGUCUGAUGUGAGAGCCCCCGGCUCAACCGGGGAGGGUCAUUGGAAACUGGGAAACUUGAGUGCAGAAGAGGAGAGUGGAAUUCCACGUGUAGCGGUGAAAUGCGUAGAGAUGUGGAGGAACACCAGUGGCGAAGGCGACUCUCUGGUCUGUAACUGACGCUGAGGAGCGAAAGCGUGGGGAGCGAACAGGAUUAGAUACCCCAGUAGUCCCUGUCUCUUAUAC
rnacentral:rRNA from 1 species